GCUGGGCAUGGUGGUGCACACCUGUGAUCCAAGCAGCUUGGAAGGCUGAGGCUGGAGGAUUUUGAGUUCAAAGCCAGCCUCUG
rnacentral:sRNA from 1 species